AGCGAACGCUGGCGGCAGGCUUAACACAUGCAAGUCGAACGGGCAUAGCAAUAUGUCAGUGGCAGACGGGUGAGUAACGCGUGGGAACGUACCUUUUGGUUCGGAACAACACAGGGAAACUUGUGCUAAUACCGGAUAGGCCCUUACGGGGGAAGAUUUAUCGCCGAAAGAUCGGCCCGCGUCUGAUUAGCUAGGUGGUAGGGUAAUGGGCUACCAAGGCGACGAGCAGUAGCUGGUCUGAGAGGAUGAUCAGCCACAUCGGGACUGAGACACGGCACAAACUCCUACGCAAGGCAGGAGUGGGGAAUAUUGGACAAGGGGGGAAAGCCUGAUCCAGCCAUGCCGGGUAAGUGAUGAAGGCCGUAGGGUUGUAAAGCUCUUUUGUGCGGGAAGAUAAUGACGGUACCGAAAGAAUAAGCCCCGGCUAACUUCGUG
rnacentral:rRNA from 1 species